CCUACGGGAGGCAGCAGUGGGGAAUAUUGCUCAAUGGGGGAAACCCUGAAGCAGCAACGCCGCGUGGAGGAUGAAGGUUUUCGGAUUGUUAACUCCUUUUUUUAGAGAAGAUAAUGACGGUAUCUAACGAAUAAGCACCGGCUAACUCCGUACCAGCAGCCGCUGUAAUACGGCGGGUGCAAGCGUUACUCGGAAUCACUGGGCAUAAAGAGCGCGUAGGCGGGAUAGCAAGUCAGAUGUGAAAUCCUAUGGCUUAACCAUAGAACUGCAGUUGAAACUGUUAUUCUAGAGUAUGGGAGAGGUAGGUGGAAUGCGUGGUGUAGGGGUAAAAUGCGUAGAGAUCAAGAGGAAUACUCAUUGCGAAGGCGACCUGCUAGAACAUAACUGACGCUGAUGCGCGAAAGCGUGGGGAGCAAACAGGAUUAGAUACCCCUGUAGUC
rnacentral:rRNA from 1 species